rnacentral:tRNA from 1 species
GGUAAGGUGGCCGAAGCAGGUGCCGAGUUGUAGCCUCGGUUAUAAAGGUAAAUUCCUUUCCUUAUCA